GGGUGUUCAAAGGACAUUGCAAUAUGAAUUCAGCAUCUGGCAUCAUUGGUUUUCUUGGCAUGUUAAACCUGGUAUUUUUAUUGAUACAAUA
rnacentral:snoRNA from 1 species